rnacentral:rRNA from 1 species
CCUGCCAGCCCGCUCAGAAACUCAAAGGAAUUGACGGGGCCCGCACAAGCGGUGGAGUAUGUGGUUUAAUUCGAUGCAACGCGAAGAACCUUACCUGGUCUUGACAUCCCGGAGACCCUUAGGAAACUAGGGGGUGCUUCCAUCUGGAAGAAUCUGGAGACAGGUGCUGCAUGGCUGUCGUCAGCUCGUGUCGUGAGAUGUUGGGUUAAGUCCCGCAACGAGCGCAACCCUUGCCUUUAGUUGCCAGCAGUUCGGCUGGGCACUCUAAAGGGACUGCCGGUGUUAAACCGGAGGAAGGUGGGGAUGACGUCAAGUCCUCAUGGCCUUUAUGACCAGGGCUACACACGUACUACAAUGGCCGAUACAAAGGGCAGCGACACUGCGAGGUGAAGCCAAUCCCGUAAAAUCGGUCUCAGUCCGGAUUGGAGUCUGCAACUCGACUCCAUGAAGUUGGAAUCGCUAGUAAUCGUGGAUCAGCAUGCCACGGUGAAUACGUUCCCGGGCCUU